CACUAUCUAAAUCCACACAGCAAGUGAGACAGAACAGGGGUUAUGCUAAAGGUGAGCUGGUUUUUUCCAGGUUGAAGCUCCUCCUCUUGCCUACACUAUGUAUAUCAUCUCUAUGCUAAAGGAUGAGUCUCUAGCUUCCAGUGCCAAACUCAAAGCCACUCACUCCAUUCAGAACAAGUUAAAUGCAAAAUUAUGCAGGAUCACAAAAAAGAUUCGGAUUACUGAAUGGACUGGCUAGUGUAAAGUGCCCAGCAUGUUUCAAGAGGUGACACAGUGGUUCAGCCCCUGGGUGUCACAGGUUGUCCGUUUGUAUGAAGGCCACAGGGAGCUGGAGUGGACCGGGGGACCUUUGCCUAUUGCAGAUGGUUUAGGGAAAGAAGUGAUCACUCAUUUGGAUACAGACAUUGAGUCCUCUGACUAUUUCUACACUGAUUCCAAUGGCAGAGAGAUUCUAGAAUGGCGGUGAGGAGAUAAAAGGAAAUAGAACAAUUGAUUACAGAAGUUUUUAUGUCCAUUUUAAUAUAUAUAAAAAGAUAUGGGAUUUGAAGCAGAUCGAGCCAAUCGCUGGAAACUACUAUCCAAUCAAUUUUUCGCGCUUACA